rnacentral:misc_RNA from 1 species
ACUUCUAACCGCCGUCGUCCGCCGCCUGCGUGACCCGGAUUCCUCUGUACGCAAUGCUUGUGUCACUGCUUGUGCGUCCAUUUCGUCACACCUGACUAAACCUCCCUUCUACUCCAUUAUCAAGCCAUUCCUUGAAGCACUUUUCACGGAACAGGAGAUGAACUCGCAGAUCGGUGCUGCUUUGUGUUUGUCGGCAGCUAUUGAGGCGUCGCCAGAUCCGGAUAUAGCCUGCUUGAGGAAGUCGUUACCGAGAUUUGAGAAGUUGCUUAAGAGCGAUAGCUUCAAAGCGAAGGCAGCAUUGCUUACAAUGAUUGGCAGUGUGAUCGCAGUUAGAGCAGCUUCUACUCAGCAAAUUGUGAGGAAUUUGGUGCCGUAUUUGGUGGAAUUCGUGGGUAGUGAUGAUUGGGCGGCUCG